UGGGGAAUAUUGCACAAUGGGCGCAAGCCUGAUGCAGCAACGCCGCGUGAACGAUGAAGGUCUUCGGAUCGUAAAGUUCUGUUGCAGGGGAAGAUAAUGACGGUACCCUGUGAGGAAGCCCCGGCUAACUACGUGCCAGCAGCCGCGGUAAUACGUAGGGGGCUAGCGUUAUCCGGAUUUACUGGGCGUAAAGGGUGCGUAGGUGGUCUUUCAAGUCGGUGGUUAAAGGCUACGGCUCAACCGUAGUUAGCCUCCGAAACUGGAAGACUUGAGUGCAGGAGAGGAAAGUGGAAUUCCCAGUGUAGCGGUGAAAUGCGUAGAUAUCAGGAGGAACACCGGUGGCGAAAGCGGCUUUUUGGCCUGCAACUGACACUGAGGCGCGAAAGCGUGGGGAGCAAACAGG
rnacentral:rRNA from 1 species